rnacentral:tRNA from 2 species
GGGCCUGUAGCUCAAUGGUCAGAGCCGGCGGCUCAUAACCGCUUGGUUGGGGGUUCGAGUCCCUCCGGGCCCA